AACCAGAGUGCGGAAGUCUUGAGGUGGAGAGGUCAUGUCCCAGAGCCCGUGCCCAAGGAAGCCAGAGGCAUGGAGUCUUAAGUCUGGCUUCAAAUUCUGAAAUCUCCUGUCUCUGAGCAGUUGUGAAGGGUGGUACAUGCUCUUAACCGCGGGGCCUCUUGCUUGGACUUUCGUUGGAAGUGGAACAAGCUAAAAACUUAUAAGAGAAAUCACAAAAUACAGGCUUGUGGACCAUUGUAGUUCUCUCGUACCUUUGCACGGGCAACUCAAGUCUUCAGUGCGUUACCAGCUGAGCGGCUGUCUCAGUGCUUUAUGGAGAUCACAGGUAAUUGGAUGUAGCCAGAGCUAAGGGAGCUGGAAAGGCUGUCUUCAAACCUACCCAAAGACAUCUUUAGCUCGUGGUCUUAAAAACCUCCGGAUUUUGGGAUUUCUACCUUGAGCUGUCCUGCCUCUCCACCGUUACUGCUUUCACUAAACUCUGUUGUGGUCACUAAAGCUACGCCACUUCCCUUACAGACUUUUUGAUGAUGUGCUGUGGUUUUGGUUGAGAAACAUCUUUUCUCAGCUUACGUGUUACCCUCUCAGAUAUCACAUCUAUCAAUAGGUUACGUCUUUAAAGCAGGGGCUCUUUACCUUCCUAACGCUGCGACCCUUUAUUACAGCUCCUCAUGUUGUGGUGUCCCCCAACCAUAAAAUUAUUUUCAUUGCUUCUUCAUAACUGCAAUGUUGUUACUGCUGUGAAUUGUAAUAUAAAUAUGUGCCAAAGGUUUUCCGAAGGGAUCAAAACCCACAGGUUUGAGAACUACUGCUUUAAGCCAACACUUUUGAGUAAAAUAUCUACUAUGCCAGGCAUACUCUAGGCCUUGCCAAUACAAAACUCUUGUAAGCCAUGGCCCCUACUCUCAAGGAACUUAACUCGUAAUGAGAUUAAAAACCAGAAUUAAAAACAAAAAACCAAACCAAAACCAUCCAACCAACCAACCAAAAUUGCAGGACUAGGCUGAUAAAGUCUGCCUUUAAUCCCAGCACUCUGAAGGCAGAGGUAGGCAGAUCUCUAAUAUAGAGGCCAGGCCAGUCUACAUAGCAGGUUCCAGGGCAGCCAAAGCUACAGAGUAAGAAAGACCCUGUCUCAAAACAAAUCAAACAAAAAACCUCGAAAAUUACCAGCAACUUCAUAUGUGAUAAUUUUGUGUGGAAAUGAGAUCUUAGCUUAGUUUGGUAGUUCUGAAAAUUCAGAACUAGGAAGCAGAACCAGGAGGCUAGUGAACUCAAGAUCACUUGAGUUAGGUGUGACACCGUCUUUGGAGUGGGAAUAUAACACAUAGAAUGAGUGCUUCUUAUUCUGUUCAAGGCCCUAGGUAUGAUUCCUAGGACUGCAAGAAGAAAAAAGAAAACUAUCUUGCAUGUGUUGUUUACAACGGAUUAUUUUGUUGGGGUAAAUAAAUCAGCCUUGUUAUUUUUUG
rnacentral:lncRNA from 1 species